rnacentral:rRNA from 1 species
UACGAAGGGGGCUAGCGUUGCUCGGAAUCACUGGGCGUAAAGCGCACGUAGGCGGCUUCUUAAGUCAGGGGUGAAAUCCUGGAGCUCAACUCCAGAACUGCCUUUGAUACUGGGGAGCUCGAGUCCGGGAGAGGUGAGUGGAACUGCGAGUGUAGAGGUGAAAUUCGUAGAUAUUCGCAAGAACACCAGUGGCGAAGGCGGCUCACUGGCCCGGAACUGACGCUGAGACGCGAAAGCGUGGGGAGCAAACAGG